UACGUAGGGGGCGAGCGUUGUCCGGAGUUACUGGGCGUAAAGCGCACGUAGGCGGUUCGUUAAGUCGGAUGUGAAAGCCCUCGGCUCAACUGAGGAAGUGCACCCGAAACUGGCGAGCUUGAGUACGAAAAGAGGAUCGCGGAAUUCCCGGUGUAGAGGUGAAAUUCGUAGAUAUCGGGAGGAACACCGGUGGCGAAGGCGGCGAUCUGGGUCGAUACUGACGCUGAGGUGCGAAAAGCGUGGGGAGCAAACAGG
rnacentral:rRNA from 1 species